rnacentral:rRNA from 1 species
UGAGGAAUAUUGGUCAAUGGGCGAGAGCCUGAACCAGCCAAGUAGCGUGCAGGAUGACGGCCCUAUGGGUUGUAAACUGCUUUUAUGUGAGGAUAAAGUGCGUGACGUGUCAUGCAUUGCAGGUACCACAUGAAUAAGGACCGGCUAAUUCCGUGCCAGCAGCCGCGGUAAUACGGAAGGUCCGGGCGUUAUCCGGAGUUAUUGGGUUUAAAGGGAGCGUAGGCUGUCUAUUAAGCGUGUUGUGAAAUUUACCGGCUCAACCGGUGGCUUGCAGCGCGAACUGGUCGACUUGAGUAUGCAGGAAGUAGGCGGAAUUCAUGGUGUAGCGGUGAAAUGCUUAGAUAUCAUGACGAACUCCGAUUGCGCAGGCAGCUUACUGUAGCAUAACUGACGCUGAUGCUCGAAAGUGCGGGUAUCAAACAGG